AACGCUGGCGGCAUGCCUUACACAUGCAAGUCGAACGGCAGCACGGGAGCAAUCCUGGUGGCGAGUGGCGAACGGGUGAGUAAUAUAUCUGAACGUGCCCGGUCGUGGGGGAUAACGUAGCGAAAGCUACGCUAAUACCGCAUACGAUCUACGGAUGAAAGCGGGGGAUCGCAAGACCUCGCGCGAUUGGAGCGGCCGAUAUCAGAUUAGGUAGUUGGUGAGGUAAAGGCUCACCAAGCCGACGAUCUGUAGCUGGUCUGAGAGGACGACCAGCCACACUGGGACUGAGACACGGCCCAGACUCCUACGGGAGGCAGCAGUGGGGAAUUUUGGACAAUGGGCGCAAGCCUGAUCCAGCAAUGCCGCGUGCAGGAUGAAGGCCUUCGGGUUGUAAACUGCUUUUGUACGGAACGAAACGGUGAGCUCUAAUACAGUUUGCUAAUGACGGUACCGUAAGAAUAAGCACCGGCUAACUACGUG
rnacentral:rRNA from 1 species